rnacentral:rRNA from 1 species
CUAAGAAUAUUCCGCAAUGGACGGAAGUCUGACGGAGCGACGCCGCGUGGAUGACGAAGGCCGAAAGGUUGUAAAGUUCUUUUGCUGGGGAAGAAUAACCGCAGGAGGGAAUGCCUGUGGGAUGACAAGAACCGGCGAAUAAGCCCCGGCCAACUACGUGCCAGCAGCCGCGGUAACACGUAGGGGGCGAGCGUUGUUCGGAAUUACUGGGCGUAAAGGGCAUGUAGGCGGCUUGGAAAGCCUGGCGUGAAAGUCUGCAGCUUAACUGCAGGGGUGCGCUGGGAACUGCUGAGCUUGAGUGACGGAGAGGGAGCUGGAAUUCCUGGUGUAGGGGUGAAAUCUGUAGAUAUCAGGAAGAACACCGAUGGCGAAGGCAAGCUCCUGGCCGAUGACUGACGCUGAGGUGCGAAAGUGUGGGGAUCAAACAGGAUUAGAUACCCUGGUAGUCCACACAGUCAACGAUGUGCACUAGGUGCUGGGGCGGUAGCUUCGGUGCCGGGGCGAACGUGGUAAGUGCACCGCCUGGGGAGUAU